rnacentral:misc_RNA from 1 species
GACGGAGGGCGCAAGCGUUGUUCGGAAUCACUGGGCGUAAAGCGCGCGCAGGCGGGUGUGCAAGUCGGAAGUGAAAUCCCGGGGCUCAACUCCGGGGCUGCGCCCGAAACUGCUCAUCUGGAGGCCGGUAGAGGUGGGUAGAAUUCCCGGUGUAGCGGUGGAAUGCGUAGAGAUCGGGAAGAAUACCUGUGGCGAAGGCGGCCCACUGGGCCGGUUCUGACGCUGAGGCGCGAAAGCGUGGGGAGCAAACAGG